rnacentral:lncRNA from 1 species
CUCAAGCAGGCACUGAAAAGAACGAAUUUAAGCAAUCUAUUUUGACUCACAACAGACUUACAAUAUUUUGUUGACACUUGACAUGUUUAUUCUUUUAGCAAAAUUAUAAUCAUGUUUUAAUAUUUCCUGCAUGCAAUUAGCAGCUUUAUUCAAGAGACAACGAUGGCAUAUGAGUCCAGAAGAUAAGACCAACUAUGGCUUUCUGAAAUGAGUUGCUCCUGUCUCAGAAGGCUAUGUGUUACAGAUGUGAAAGGAUAAAUUCACCCCUGUGGUUGAUAUUUAUGGGAAUGCAAGGUGACAGCUGGAAUCUCAAAGACCUCCUGGAGCCUCACAGGGUGUUGCCAAUCAUCUUGGAAAUGCAUGAAUUGCACUUUUGA